CAGCUUGUUCGCAGAGAUCUAGCAGGUCCAAUGUCUGCAACAAACAUCACAUAUAGUGAAUGCAUAAUCAGUUCAAAGAUCAGUCUCCAUCUACAUGCAAAGGUUUUCUAUUUAAAUGAAAACUCUAGAUACUUACCUCAGGAACAGAGAGCUCAAGGCGGAAUUUAGGACCAUCGUAGUGGUGAAGAACAGGCCUGAAGGAAUCCUCUUCCAAGGCUUUGCAGAUUUUCCUCACUCUGAUCCUUACC